UCAGCCACCAAGGAGAUGACAUUUCCACAGUAGCUCUGUUAUUUCCCAAACCCGAUUUUCUGGUAUCUUUGGCCUCACUGAAGUGGCACAUUUUUCAUUAAACUUAGCAUUACAUAAAGCCAUUAAGGUGACAGUAGUGUGCCAUUAUAGCUGUUGUAGUAGUGCUGAUAGUGACUUCACCCUUGGGUCAUUUGAAGCAGUUAUUAAGUAAAGUGUCGAGAGAUAUCAAAUAACUUUGAAAACUUGAAAUUGCUUUGCUGUAAGUACCUCUUCUGUGCAGAGCACGGAAAGUUAUACAAGUAGCUCAAUUCAUAUGGAAAACAAGAGCUAUCAAACAUUAAAACCAACACAGCCAAAAAUGUUAAGACAGAAUUUCUUUCCUUCUAGUAUUCUUCAUAAGCUGAAUAUUUUUUCACUCCUUGCAGCACAUAUCCAUUCUGAUUUUUGUCUGCUUUAGAGGCUAAACUUGCCUGAGGGGCCUGCAGAUCCUACAUGUCACAGCUGUUACCGCAGUCACAGUCAUUCUGAUCCCGCAGGGAAAUGCUGGGUGCAGAAGCAACAAACAAGUGGGAUGCAGUCUGCUAGCAACAUAAGCCUGUGUAUCUCCUUCCCUCUACAACAGAUUCCUCCAACUGUCUCCUCUGCCCUCCUGCUCUAAUCUGACAAGCGCUGAAGUGCUGUGGAGAUGGAUUCAUGUACAGAAAUAUGCUGUGGUGGUGUGGGUGUCCUGGGAGAUGGGUUUCUCCAGUGAUGCUGGAGGUCUUGGGGGCAAAUGUGACAUCAUCAUUGUGGGGAAGAGCUGGGCUAUUGUGAGCAACCAAAGAAGCAGGCACAUACCAGUGCCUAUCGUACAGCAGGGGAACCAAGCUGACCACAGGGCUGUCAGGAUACAAGUUCCUUGCUCUAAAUUCUGGGAAAGGAGUUAAUGAUCUGCAGAUACCCAAGAGUCUGGGGACCAUGGGCAGAGAAACAGCUGUCAAGAAGGUAUCACCAGCUGCUCACUACAAAGAGAUCCAGAGAGAAUGAAGACUCUCAGAUGUGGUGUAGCCAUGCUGCUUUGCAGCUCCUGAAUGCUUUGGUACUGCAUAUUUGAGAAAAGAGGGGGCUUUAAAGGCCACAAAGAAACAUGUAGGAAGUUGCUAAUAGCUGAUCAAGCCCAGUUACAGCUCCUGUUGUACUCCAAGAGCUCUUCAAGGUGCCCAACACACACUCCUAUGCAGGCCUUCCUUUUAGUAACAGCAACAAUAAUUAAUAAUAGUAAAAAAUGAUAUUUCUGCUGCAUUAUUUGGAGAGAGAAAAGCUAUAGACUUGACUUUUACAGGAAUGAGAAAGAAGAACAGUUAGAAAAGAGAAAUUCCUCAUCAAAAAUGCUGAGGAGGGCAGGAGGUGGGAUGAGAAGUGAGAAGGAGCCCUCUGUCUCCGUAAUACUGUCUUGUUGAUCUUUCUUUCCUCCAUCAUGUGGUUUCUAUUUUCUUGUAUUAAUCCAUGCUUCCCCUCCCAACAUUUUUUCAUGUGCUUGCCAGUUUGAGGUCAACGAGUACUAAGAAUGGACUGAAAAGAAUUUCCAGGAUGUUUUUUGAGACUAUUAAUAUCUUUAGCAGCUAUUCAAGCAAACACACUCCAUGUUCAUCGUACUUCAGUGUAUAAGCUCAUCGCUGGAGGAAGCAAAUUCAGAUUCUUCAUGUUGCAUGCUGUACAAACGAUCAGAUACACUGUGGAGCUUUGGAGAUAAGAUGGCGCUUCCUGUGGAGCACUCAAAAAGAAAGAGACAAUACUGUGCUGAUAAACAGUUUUCAAAGGCAAAGAAAUUCCAGAAGCCACACUCAAUGACGGAUUUUUAAGAGUCGCCACUUUCAACUCUUCCUAAUUUUAAGGCACCUGACCAAAUGGCAGGCAUCCCUGAAGUCCUAAGCUGUGAAGUAUUCCUCAGCAACGCAUAAGAAGGCUGAACUACUUCUUAUUGAGACGUGCAGAAGCCAGUCCGGAUGGGCGGACUGCCAAUAGCUAAGGACAGAGGUGGCACUUACGGAAAUACGUAAUUAAGCUUUAUCAGUUCUUCACAGUGAAAGCCGAGAACAAUAUUCAUCAUCCCAGCAAUGUGGGGUGACUUUGCUGAAACUGGAAGGAGAAAGGUAGAAUAAAAUCCAUGAUGCUGUGAGUCUCUCAAAGGAAAAGAAAUCCAAUCAGUGAGGUUCACGACAAUUAAUCCCGAAAUUACACCAAACCUUGCAUAGGGCAGUCUGCCAACAGGAUAAUGAUCUGUUCCUCAAACAUGGCAGAAUACCUGGGUUUCAUAUAUCCCAAUACGGCGCUCUAAGCAGUAUGCUGGGCAAAAUGGGAAGACACAGCUGGCCUUAUUCCAAGUUGUAUCCUAUGUGAGGUACCUGGUAGGUAUGAUUGAGUAUAUUUUAAAAGAGAAGGAAAAAAAGGGAGAGAAAAAAUCAGACUUGGAACAUGAGAGAGGCCAGGAAGAAGAUGAUCUGGGAACCCCACUGAGGCCUGGGCAUGAGGCAGCUUGAAGAUGCCAGGUGUGGCUGCUUAUACAUGAACAGAUGUCUUGCUUCCAAGGGGAUUAAAAUCUGACAUUGAAGUGCCUAAAAACAGGGGCCAAAGUCUAUUUUAGAGCUGAUUAUUAAAACCCAGUAGAUUAUAUUUUUCAAGGAAGAGAGUAAAACUUGCAUAGGAGGAAAGGAAGCACUAUGCCAAAUUUCAGAACAUUGUACGUGGAUAUAAAUCACAUGUUAGAGGGAGAACACUGGGGUGUUAAGUGAUGGAAUUCAGACUCAGAAUUUGUGCUCAAUAUAGUGUACUAACUUGGACUCCUGCAGACUGCAGCUUUUGAGCAUCCAGAACUUUCCAGCAUCUUAAGAAAUGAUGCAAUGCAUUUGUUGGGUGCUGUGGUUUUUUUCCCCUCCCAAAGGCUGUGUACUGCAUUUUCCUUAUUGAAUUUAUAUUUUAAAGAGAAAAUGCCAAAAGGCAAAUGGCCACUUAGAAGAUAUAUUCAAUUUAUUUCUUGCCUCCCUUCAAAAUGGGACAGGUUAGCAGACUGAAAAAAU